CUACGGGUGGCAGCAGUGGGGAAUAUUGCACAAUGGGCGAAAGCCUGAUGCAGCAACGCCGCGUGGAGGAUGACACAUUUCGGUGCGUAAACUCCUUUUAUAUAAGAAGAUAAUGACGGUAUUAUAUGAAUAAGCACCGGCUAACUCCGUGCCAGCAGCCGCGGUAAUACGGGGGGUGCAAGCGUUACUCGGAAUCACUGGGCGUAAAGAGCAUGUAGGCUGGAUGACAAGUUGGAAGUGAAAUCCUAUGGCUUAACCAUAGAACUGCUUCCAAAACUGUCUUCCUAGAGUAUGGGAGAGGUAGAUGGAAUUUCUGGUGUAGGGGUAAAAUCCGUAGAGAUCAGAAGGAAUACCGAUUGCGAAGGCGAUCUACUGGAACAUUACUGACGCUCAGAUGCGAAAGCGUGGGGAGCAAACAGGAUUAGAUACCCCUGUAGUC
rnacentral:rRNA from 1 species